GACGGCCCUAUGGAUUGUAAACUGCUUUUGCACAGGAAGAAACGUCCCGACGUGUCGGGACUUGACGGUACUGUGAGAAUAAGGAUCGGCUAACUCCGUGCCAGCAGCCGCGGUAAUACGGAGGAUCCAAGCGUUAUCCGGAAUCAUUGGGUUUAAAGGGUCCGUAGGCGGGCUUAUAAGUCAGUGGUGAAAUCUCCCCGCUCAACGGGGAAACGGCCAUUGAUACUGUAAGGCUUGAAUUAUUAGGAAGUAACUAGAAUAUGUAGUGUAGCGGUGAAAUGCUUAGAGAUUACAUGGAAUACCAAUUGCGAAGGCAGGUUACUACUAAUGGAUUGACGCUGAUGGACGAAAGCGUGGGUAGCGAACAGGAUUAGAUACCCUGGUAGUCCACGCCGUAAACGAUGGAUACUAGCUGUUGGGAGCAAUCUCAGUGGCUAAGCGAAAGUGAUAAGUAUCCCACCUGGGGAGUACGUUCGCAAGAAUGAAACUCAAAUGAAUUGACGGGG
rnacentral:rRNA from 1 species